GAUCCUGGCUCAGGAUGAACGCUAGCGGCAGGCCUAACACAUGCAAGUCGAGGGGUAGCGGGAUUGAAGCUUGCUUCAGUUGCCGGCGACCGGCGCACGGGUGCGUAACGCGUAUGCAACCUACCCAUAACAGUGGGAUAACACUGAGAAAUCGGUACUAAUAUCCCAUAACAUCAAGAGGGGCAUCCCUUAUGGUUGAAAACUCCGGUGGUUAUGGAUGGGCAUGCGUUGUAUUAG
rnacentral:rRNA from 1 species